UACGAAGGGUGCGAGCGUUGUUCGGAAUUACUGGGCGUAAAGGGUGUGUAGGCGGAUGAGUAAGAUAGCGGUGAAAUGCCCGGGCUUAACCUGGGAAUUGCCGUUAUGACUAUUCAUCUAGAGUGACAGAGAGGAUAUUGGAAUACCCAGUGUAGAGGUGAAAUUCGUAGAUAUUGGGUAGAACACCAGUGGCGAAGGCGAGUAUCUGGCUGUUAACUGACGCUGAGGCACGAAAGCAUGGGGAUCAAAC
rnacentral:rRNA from 1 species